UCCCAGACUCCCAGAAGGAAAGCAGGUGUUUGGCAUAAAGCACAUUGUUUGUAUAAAUAGUUUAAGCACAGUGAGCUACUCUUAUCAGUUUACUGUUAACUA